ensembl:lncRNA
CUGGCAGGACUGCAGCCCCUCCACCUCUCGCUUGCUCUCUCACCCAGUCCGCAGCCAAGAAGCAUGCAUUCUACAGAGUUUUAAUUGUCCAUAUGAACAGCUGCUUCAAGAGGUGAGUGAUUACUUAAAUAGACUAAGCACUUAAAGAACUAUAAAAUAGGGAAAGUGUAAUGACAUAAUCUCAACAGCAUUUAUUAGUAUUCAAGAAGAGAGACUUUUCAAGGGGAGAUCAAGCCUCACAACCAUGACCUUGUGGACAUCUAAAACUGUGAUUUGAAUGUAGGAAAAUCCCAGGAUGAAAGAAGUUUUGCCUGGACUGAGGCAGGAAAGAAACAGUGUUUUAAUGGUCACCAUGACUUCUUGUUUCCUUCUGAUUCUCCUGUCAAAGAAUUUUCCCUUGGAUUCUACCCCAGCCAACAUCCAGGCUAAUUUCACCUUAUAGUUUAGCCAGAACAGUGUCACCAGGAGGAAAGAGUAGAGAGUGUCUGGUAAAAUAACUCUGUUAUUACAUUCUAAUCCACAAAUACUAGGUACACUAAUUAAUAAUGCUUUGCAAUAAUAUAGUUCAUUUGAUUAAAGGUUCAGAAAGUGGUUUAUUUUUAUUGAUUGGUAUAAAAUUGUGCUAGAUCCUGAAGAUAGGCAAGCACUGCAUCUCAUUUCUCAUAGUUGAUAGUUUUAACACAAAUAAAAUUGUAAUUCAUGAGUGUAAAUUCAAAUCCCAGUGUUGUAACCAUUUUUUGCCACCAAAAUUAAUGUGGGAAGAAUUAAUAAACAGGAUUCUGAUGUGCAAUGAUAUUAAAGGAAAUAUGCUACCUUUGUAGCUUAAAUAUUCUGUAUAUUCAGAGGC